rnacentral:rRNA from 1 species
UACGUAGGGUGCAAGCGUUAAUCGGAAUUACUGGGCGUAAAGCGUGCGCAGGCGGUGAUGUAAGACAGAUGUGAAAUCCCCGGGCUCAACCUGGGAACUGCAUUUGUGACUGCAUCGCUGGAGUGCGGCAGAGGGGGAUGGAAUUCCGCGUGUAGCAGUGAGAUGCGUAGAUAUGCGGAGGAACACCGAUGGCGAAGGCAAUCCCCUGGGCCUGCACUGACGCUCAUGCACGAAAGCGUGGGGAGCAAACAGG